GCCCGCGCCGCUGCCGCCGGGAGACUCGGCCGGCUCUGGUGAGGACUCGACGGCCGCCGACGACCCGCGCAAGUUCGUCGACGCGCCACCGCCAAAGCAGAACGCCUGGAGCAAGAAGCAGCUGGACACCCCGGAGGCGGCCGAGCGGCCGCUGCCGACUGAGCCGGGCCUUCCCGUGGAGCCGGCGGCCGCGUGCGCGACUCCGGCGCCACCUGCCGCCGAAAGCCCCCAGUCGGCUGCGCCAGAACUGGUAGCCAGAGCGCCGACAGUUGUUAGAGCAAACUCAGGUGACAAGUCGAAAAUCAAUACGAAGGCGUCCGACUUCAGUGACUUGGGAGACUGGCCCACGCUCGAGAGGACGGCCAGUGCGCCGGGCACGCCGCGCCCCGCCGGCCCCGUCUCCGGCUCAGGACCCAGCUCCGGCCACGGCAACGGCAAUGGCAACCUCACCAACGGCACGGCGCCCUCCUCGCAGGACGACGACUCGUCCAAGGAGAACUACGACGAGAACCGACAGAGCGCGACCGCCAGCGACAGCAGCAAACGGAAAC